rnacentral:rRNA from 1 species
CCUACGGGGGGCUGCAGUGGGGAAUAUUGGACAAUGGGGGGAACCCUGAUCCAGCCAUGCCGCGUGUGUGAAGAAGGCCCUCGGGUUGUAAAGCACUUUCAGUGAGGAAGAACGCCUGGUGGUUAAUACCCAUCAGGAAAGACAUCACUCACAGAAGAAGCACCGGCUAACUCCGUGCCAGCAGCCGCGGUAAUACGGAGGGUGCGAGCGUUAAUCGGAAUUACUGGGCGUAAAGCGCGCGUAGGUGGCUUGAUAAGCCGGUUGUGAAAGCCCCGGGCUCAACCUGGGAACGGCAUCCGGAUCUGUCAAGCUAGAGUGCAGGAGAGGAAGGUAGAAUUCCCGGUGUAGCGGUGAAAUGCGUAGAGAUCGGGAGGAAUACCAGUGGCGAAGGCGGCCUUCUGGACUGACACUGACACUGAGGUGCGAAAGCGUGGGUAGCAAACAGGAUUAGAUACCCUAGUAGUC